rnacentral:rRNA from 1 species
GAUGAACGCUAGCGGCAGGCUUAAUACAUGCAAGUCGAGGGGCAGCAUGGUUGUAGCAAUAACAACUGAUGGCGACCGGCAAACGGGUAGCGGAACACGUACGCAAUCUACCCAAAACUGAUGAAUAGCCCUCCGAAAGGAGGAUUAAUACAUCGUAACAUAAUUGAAUGGCAUCAUUUAAUUAUUAUAGCUCCGGCGGUUUUGGAUGAG